UAAUAAUACAUCUUGGGUCACAAAUGUCUUCAUCCUCUUUCUGUUCAACUUUGGAAGUCGUGGUCGCCUGGCCGGUUAGCUCAGUUGGUUAGAGCGUGGUGCUAAUAACGCCAAGGUCGCGGGUUCGAUCCCCGUACGGGCCAUUCUGUUUUGGAAAAAGCCAGUAGAAAGAUUCCAAGGUUCCAGAAGUGAUAUUUCCAUUCCAGCUCCUUAUCUCGAAGAACCGAGAAGGCGAACCUUCCUGUUGAUCCCUAUUGAAUUGUUUUAAAUGUACUUUUAUUCUGAUCUUAAUAAACACGAAAUAAGAUGGCCAUUUCCAAAUACAGAGUACAACAGAAAAAGAGGGUAGUACCUGAACUUGUAGGUCUCUGUUUGGUAUAGUUUUCCUCUUAUCUACAACAGCCUGUAUCUUUCUAAACCGUCCUGUUUAUCUGGACUUCUUUCGGACUUCCUGUUCUUUUAUGUGCGUUUCACUUUCAGUUUAGCUCCCGUUUGUUCAUCUAGAAAACGGAAAUAAUAAUUCCUGAAUUGCCUUUUUACAACGUAAAAAGAACCACCACCACAACACAAAAGAACAGGACUAAUUUUGACAGUUUUUUUGGAAACCCUACAGGCAAGGAGGGGCUCCAGGAGCAGGGAAUCUUGCGGAGGAGAAGACUCUGGCUGGUAGAGGAGUGGCUUGAAGUCUUGAGAAGCUGAAGAGAGAAGUUGGAAAAAGACUUUCUCCUGAGGGUUACCCAAUUUUCCUACUGGUGACUACUGGAAAUCUUUCCCUCAAUACUUCCCAAUUGAAGGGACUUUCUGAAGAGAAACCUGAGCAGACUUUACCUCAGCUCCUGUUGCCUAGGGGUGAAUUAACCUAACUUUCUCUUAGGGGGCUCAGGCUGCCAAGGCCUGAGUUCCCCCAAAAACUUGAGGGGGGAGGGUUAGAUAGAGACAGGGACCCUUUUUCCCCACAUUCCUUUCCCAUUCUCCCCUGCCUAUUAUUCCCUUUGCAUUACCUGAUUGAGUUGACAUUAAAGUUAUGUGUUUCCCAAGCUGAGUGUGAGUGAACAAAUCAAGG
rnacentral:tRNA from 1 species